AUACGUAGGGGGCGAGCGUUGUCCGGAAUGAUUGGGCGUAAAGGGCUCGUAGGUGGUUUGUCGCGUCGUCUGUGAAAUUCCGGGGCUUAACUCCGGGCGUGCAGGCGAUACGGGCAUAACUUGAGUACUGUAGGGGAGACUGGAAUUCCUGGUGUAGCGGUGAAAUGCGCAGAUAUCAGGAGGAACACCGGUGGCGAAGGCGGGUCUCUGGGCAGUAACUGACGCUGAGGAGCGAAAGCAUGGGUAGCGAACAGGAUUAGAUACCCUGGUAGUCCAUGCCGUAAACGGUGGGCGCUAGGUGUAGGGGUCUUCCACGACUUCUGUGCCGUAGCUAACGCAUUAAGCGCCCCGCCUGGGGAGUACGGCCGCAAGGUUGAAACUCAAAUGAAUUGACGGGG
rnacentral:rRNA from 1 species